ensembl:lncRNA
UUAUAGAAACCCCUGGGGUCCACCUGUCUGUCUCUAUAUCUGUCUCACUCUCUAUCUGUAUGUCUCUCUAUAUAUCUGUCUAUCUCUCUCCUGUCUGUUUCUCUUAUCUGUCCCUCCGUAUAUAUAAAUAAAUAAAUAAAUUAAUAAAUAAAUAAAUAAAUAAAUAUAUCUUUCUCUCUGUAUAUCUGUCUCUCUUCCCUUCUGUCUCUCCCCCUCUAUCUGUCUCUCCCGAUCUAUCUGUCUCUCUCUCUCCCUGAAUCUGUCUCUCCUUCUCUAUAUGAAUUUUCCCUCUAUUUGUCUUGCUCUCUCCUUGUCUCUUCCUAUCUAUCUAUCUGUCUCUCCUUCUCUGUCUCCCUCCCUCUAUCUGUCUCUCCUUUUCUUUAUGAAUUUUCCCUCUGUCUCUACCUAUUGUUCUCCCUUUCUGUGUCUCUCUCCCUAUAUCUGUCUGUCUCUCUAUUUUUCGAACUUUUUGAAGUUUUUGAAAUUGUACAUCACAUUUUGGAAACUAAAUUCAGUCAAAUAAAAUGAAAUAUUAAUUAAAUAUUUUAAUUAUGGAUGCUACUGAAUGUUUUUUUAGUGGUGUAACCUAUUUCAAAUGCAGCUGAUCAGAUCUUAUUUAAAAUGUUAUACAGCUGUGAUUUCAGCCAAUCAGCAGUCACCAAAUCACCUGCUUUCAUUUUCACAUUUCUGGACUUUACUGCUUUUAAAAGAAAAGGAAAAAGAAGAGAAAAAGUUUUCUCUCGCUCUGGUUCUUACCCAGUCUAACCGAUUCUAAUCCGGCCUAACCCAAUCUAACCCGGUCUAACCCAAUCUAACCCGGUCUAACCCGGUCUAACCCAAUCUAACCCAUUCUAACCUGGCCUAACCCGGUUCUAACCCAAUCUAACCCAUUCUAACCUGGCCUAACCCGGUUCUAACCCGGUCUAAACCAGAGUUUCUGUUGCUCUAAGUGAGAAAAUGAAGUGUGUUUAUUUUGUCAGAUGACAAAGAAAAGCUGGUGAUUAGACAGUCAGUGCUCACUACCAUACUGCUCAACUGUCUCUCUCUCUCCCUGUCUCUCCCCCUCUCUGUCUCCCUGUCUCUCUCUCUCUCUCCCUCUCCCUGCCUCUCUCUCUCUCUCUCUCCCUCUCCCUGCCUCUCUCUGUCUCUCUCUCUCUCUCCCUGUCUCUCUCUCUCCCUGUCUCUCUCUCCCUCUCUCUCUCGCUGUCUCUCUCUGUCUCUCUCUCCCUCCCUCUCCCUGUCUCUCUCUGUCUCUCUCUCUCUCCCUGUCUCUCCCUGUCUCUCUCUCUCCCUGUCUCUCUCUCCCUGUCUAUCUCUCUCUCCCUGUCUCUCUCUCUCUCUCCCUCUCUCUCUCUCUCUCUCUCUCCUUGUCUCUCUCUCUCUCUCUCUCUCUCUCGCUCUCUCUCACUGUGGUGUCAUGUACUGUUACACAGAGCAUCUGGCAGUCUGUGUUCCUUAAAGGAGAAGUUCAGCCAAAAAUAAAAAAAAUACGUCUUUACUGCAGUUGUAGUUGUGUUGGUUCUCCAAACGCCAUCGUUCCACACAGGCCCUUGAGAACCUUGUCCACAUUACAGUUCAGAUCCACCUCGUCUCUCUAAGCAACGUCUAGCUCCUGCAUUGACGACUCUUAGCUGUGAGUGCUGCAACACUAGCUAGAUUUAGAGUAUAGUUACUGAAUAGUGGAUCAUGUGACCUAUUUCGGCCAAUAGAGAAACACCAAUGACAACAUCGUGCACCACACAGAAUUGUGGCAAAUUCCUACGAGUUUGAAUGACGACUGUUGCCAGGCAAUACGGAUGCUAAAUAAACCGUUCGUCAUGACAAAUGUGUACGACUGACAAACCACUGUUGCUAGGCAACUGGGGGAACCUUACAUUGUGAAAAAUUCAUACAAGUUUGCACAGUGAUUGUUGCUAGGAAAAAUAAACCGUAAGUUCUGAUAAAUUCAAACAACUUUGAACAAACUGAUUUUUAGUCCGUGACAUAGCGAACCAUAAAUAAAUGCCAUAAAGGGAAAUGUAAACAACCCACUGUUGCUACCAACGCUUACGUCAUGACGAGUUCGUACGACAAAGUUUGAACUGACUGUUGCUAGGUUACUGCGGAGGACGGACACUAAGUAAACCUUAUCUUGUGACAAAUUCGUACGAGUUUGAACAAAAUUUGUUGCUAGGCAACCGGACAGUAGGAAUGAAUUUUACAAACGUGUUUUAAAACUGGGAGAAUGUGAGGAUAAUGUGUGUAAAUAUUGAUUUAGAUUUUGCAGUGAUAUUUAAUAAGGAUACAAUUCAUUUUAUUUUCAUUACGGUUAUUAUGUUGUUUUUUUUAAGCGUUCCUCGUGACCCUUCAGCCAUUACUGCGGAAUUAAAAAACGGAGUGUAACAGGACAUCGGGAGUCUCUCGUUGUCCAGUUGUGCUUAAACGUUGACCUUCCUCACACACACUCCCCCCUUUACACACACACACACAUUAGACGUGGCUCUCGGCGUGUGUUUCGCGACCUGGCGUUGUCCGUAGAGGCCUGUCCACCAUCUGCUGGAGGAAUUCGCCGCUCCAGACAAAAGGAUUGGCAGAAAACUCGCUUUGUCUGAAACCUCACUGCUAUAAAACACCUGGACGAAAUCAGCAGGUGACGAGAGAGAGAGAGAGAGAGAGAGAGAGAGAGAGAGAGAGAGAGAGAGAGAGAGAAAUCUACAGCACUUUGAUUUGUCCUUAACCUCCCUUCAUCCCCUGACUCACCUGUGUACACGCAGGGACUUGUACCUGAUCUGGACGUUAAAAUUGACGUUGCUUGGUUUGUCCUUGUUACACAUGAUGUUAAAUUAAAACAUGACUCUCACCAUGAACCUAAACAUCGUCUUCACAUCCAGAGAGUAACGUGACAUGAAAUUUAACAUUUUAACCACAUCCACCACUCCUGCUGCCAUCAACACCUUUAAAGCAACAGCGCCAUGCCGAGUGUUCUCUGAACACGCCUUCAAAUCUCAGGACGUGACGAUUUCAAAAUCACUGUUCAAUCGUUAAAAACAGCAUGGUUGCUAGGCAACUGAGGAAUACAGGCAUUAAUCAAAGGCAUUGUACGUUUUUCAACAAACAAACGAUGAUUUUAAAGAUUUAUUUUUUACGUAUUUUGAAAGUAUGUUUAAAUAAAACUCACUGCACGAGUACCAUUGCUAGGCAACUGGAGAAUAUCGACAGCGAGCAAACCGUACAUCGCAACAAAUUCGGACGAGUUUGAAAAAAGAAUCAAAGUUGUUAGGUGACUAGUGAAUAUGGAUAUAAAUUUAUACGCAUGACCAAACCAAAGCGAUGUGACUGGGAUUUAUCUGUUUCCCAACAAACAUAGAAAAGUUUGCAGACGCUAAUUCCACCAAUAACCUUAAAGCUUUUAACAUUAAAUACAAAUAAAUAUGACAUGACAAAUUUGUACGAAUUUGAGCGAACCACCGUUGCUAAGCGACUGGGAAAUACGGACACUGACAUUACAUCAUGCCAGUUGUGUAAGUAUGACUUUGUACACUUUUGAACAAAUGAAAAUAUUAGAUUAGACAAGUGACAGAUGGUGACUCCGCCCCUAACUUUAACGUAACAUAGUGAUAGGAAUGCGUUAUGCAUCAGCACUGCGUGAAACUGACGGUAAGGACACAGCGACAGUAGAAACGAGACAGGAUUGUCAUGAUCGUCAAUGUUUACCUCAGACUUAUGGUACAUUAUGAUUUUUUUUUAAACACGCUAGAUGUGAAAUUUGGCCGUAAUGAGCAUGAAAGUAGCGAAGAGUGUUGGUAAACAAAGCAAACAUACGAUAAGUGUGUGAGGAAUCUUCUGAUAAACACAACGGCACGCAGCUGUGGAUGAAUGCAGCAUAACUCGAGCACACAGAACCAGAGGAAUAAUUCUCAGUAAGGUUUCGAGAGGCUCGUUUUGACCCGAGUGGAACAGAAGGCUUCAUUCUCCGAGCUGUCACAGGACUCGGUUUGAUCUCCGUCAGAAGGAGCUUUGAGGAAAGAACCGCAGGGUCUCAGCGGUCCAGGAAACAAAAUGCUGCUCACGUCCUGCAUCUCGUCAGUGUCCGGCUCUCAAACCCCUGCAGUCUCUCUCUCUCUCUCUCUGUCUGUCUGUCUGUCUCUCUCUGUCUGUCUGUCGCUCUCUCUGUCUGUCUGUCUCUCUCUCUCUGCUUGUCUGUCUCUCUUUCUGUCUCUCUCUCUCUGUCUCUCUCUGUCUGUCUGUCUCUCUCUCUGCUUGUCUGUCUCUCUCUCUGUCUCUCUCUCUGUGUCUCUCUCUCUGUCUCUCUCUGUCUGUCUGUCUCUCUCUCUCUCUAUCUGUCUCUCUCUGUCUGUCUGUCUGUCUCUCUGCUUGUCUGUCUCUCUCUGUCUCUCUCUGUGUGUCUCUGUCUGUCUGUCUGUCUCUCUCUCUGUCUGUCUGUCUCUCUCUGACACGCAGCACUGGACAUAUGUGCCCCUACGUGUCGGACAUGUUUAACACGCUAGCACCGUGCCGUAGAACUAACGCUAAUUAGCCCUUAUGUUCUGUUCAGGUCAGAAAUUAAAAAAAGAUCAGUUUCACAUUUUUUUUCCAACACAGACCUUAACGCUCUCGGCUCAGUUUCUCUAAUUAGCAUGAACAAUCUUUUUUUUCUUCUUCUUCUUCUUUAAAUAAAAUACUCAGGAUGUCUGCAGGGAUCCUGGGGUUUAAUUUAAUGCUCUUUAACACUUUUCAACGUCACUUCAAACGUAGCUGAAGACCACAUUUGCAUCUGUUAACGUUUAAUCCGAGGCUACGCUGCGAAAACGAUCUUUUCAAGUAAAAACGCUGCAAAUACACACACAUUUAUCUCAUAUAUUAUUAUUUUUAUUAUUAUUAUUAUUAUUAUUAUUAUUAUUAUUAAUAUACAUAUUUAUUAUUUUUUUAUUAUUAUUUAAAGGAUAAAUAAUAAAACAAAAAUGAUAUUUAAUCUUCCAGGUUAAAAAGAAAACCCUAAACACACGCGCACACACACACAUUAUCCUCCACUCUGUUCCUGUUGGUAAUGUUUAUAUCAUUUAAAAUAAUGUAUAAAAAAGAAAAAUAAUAAAGGGAUGGAAUAAUUAGUGCGAGUUCUGAUCCCGAAGACGGAGACGGAAAAAUACUGAAAAUCUUUCCAGCUUUCUUUAAUUUUCCAACAUAUUUUAAUAAUGUUAAUAUUAUUUAAAAUAAAUAAAUAAAUAAAUAAAAAGAUUGUUCGCAAAGGUAUCAUGGGGAAAUUGACAUAAUAUUCUUCAUUUUAC